rnacentral:rRNA from 1 species
GAUGAACGCUAGCUACAGGCUUAACACAUGCAAGUCGAGGGGUAACGAGAGGAAAGCUUGCUUUCCUUGUCGACGACCGGCGCACGGGUGAGUAACGCGUAUCCAACCUGCCCCCAACUAGGGAAUAACCUUGCGAAAGUAAGACUAAUACCCUAUAAUUUCCUCAGAUGACAUCUGACGAGGAAUAAAGAUUUAUCGGUUGUGGAUGGGGAUGCGUCGGAUUAGCUUGUGGGCGGGGUAACGGCCCACCAAGGCAACGAGCAGUAGGGGUUCUGCGAGGAAGCUGCCAGACAUUGGAACUGGAACACGGUCCCAACUCCUACGGGACGCCGCAGUGAGGAAGAUUGGUGGAUGGGCGGACGCCUGGACCAGCCACGUAGCGUGCAGGAUGACGGCCCUAUGGGUUGUAAACUGCUUUUAUACGUGAAUAAAGUUAGCCACGUGUGGUUAUUUGUAGGUACUGUAUGAAUAAGGACCGGCUAAUUCCGUGCCGGCCGCCGCAGUAA